rnacentral:rRNA from 1 species
GUAGGGGGCAAGCGUUAUCCGGAUUUACUGGGUGUAAAGGGAGCGUAGACGGAUUAGCAAGUCUGAUGUGAAAGGCAGGGGCUCAACCCCUGGACUGCAUUGGAAACUGCCAGUCUUGAGUGCCGGAGAGGUAAGCGGAAUUCCUAGUGUAGCGGUGAAAUGCGUAGAUAUUAGGAGGAACACCAGUGGCGAAGGCGGCUUACUGGACGACAACUGACGGUGAGGCGCGAAAGCGUGGGGAGCAAACAGGAUUAGAUACCCUGGUAGUCCACGCGGUGAACGAUGAUUACUAGGUGUCGGGGGUUUAUAAACCUUCGGUGCCGCCGCAAACGCAAUAAGUAAUCCACCUGGGGAGU